ACACCGCUGGUGUAGGGGUAACAUAUUACCUUCCCAGGUUUUGCACCAAGGAACAGGUAAUGCCGUGGGUUCGAUUCCCGCGCGGUGUA